CGGUAUAUAAACCGAACCGAACCGAAGUAAAUAUGGAUUUAGAAUGGUAGUUAUAUUUUACUAACCGAAAUACCGAAAAACCGAAAAAACCGAACCGAUAUCCCGAUUGAACACCCCUAAUAACACUUAAUCCAAUGGACCAUAGUACUUUACCUCUCUUUCCCUAACUACGACCAAAUUACUUCUUCUCUUUCAAAAACCUAAAGUCUCUUUUACUUUAUUUCAAGUCUGUGGAUUUCUUCCUCUUCUUCCAAAACUGUCAUUCUCUCCCUCUUUUCUUUGUUCUUGUUUAUAAAUUUGUUUUGUUCUUAAUUCUCUUGUAAGACUUUAUUUCUAGUCUCUGCUUUUGUUUCAUGUUCAGUUUCAGGUCAAGAAGAAGAGGAGGAGGAAAUGCUCAAAAAAAAAAAGAAGAGGAGGAGGACGUGACAACAUCGACGGGAUUAAAGCAGUGGUGCGCAGGGCCGGUCCAAACAAUAAAAAUUUUCCUUUGGGCCCUAAGCCUAUAUAGCAAAUAUAUAAAUAAUAACAAUCUGUAAUGUAAAAUUGUGAAAUAUGGCCCAGGGGCCCUAAGCAGUUGCUUAUGUUGCCUACCCUCUGGGCCGGGCCUGGUGGUGCGGCGGCACAAGCGAUAUGGUCAUGGUGGUGCUGUGUGGUAGCGGCAAUGUUGCUUGACCCCGGCGGUGCAAGCGAUUAGGGUGGUGGGCGUGAGCAGAGGUGGUGGUCGUGAGCAGAGGUGGCAGGACGUGAACAGAGGUGGCAGGACGUGAGCAGAGGCAGUGGUUGUUAGCAGACGUGAGCAGAGGCGGCAGAACGUGAGAAGCAGCAGCAGGUCGUGAGCAGAGGCGGCGGAGUAGCUCGUGAGCAGAGGAGGCUUAGAUUAGGUUUAGACUUUUUUAUGGUCUAGAUUAGGUUUACACUUUUUUUAAUUUGGUUUAGUGUAAACGAUUUUAAUGUAAAAUUAUAAAUACGACUUGAUUUAUUUUAGUUUUUUUUUU